UGAGUUCCUGCGUGUGUGACUUCAGGCGUGUGUGUGUGUGUGUUUGUGUGUGUGUUGGAAUGGGGGUGGGGGGCGGUCCUGGAAAGGCCGAGAGCCUUGGAAUCUGAGGAGUCUGCAGCCCAUUCUUGAUACUGCUUUACUUUCCAAAAAGUUAUGACAACAAAACCACCCUGGGGCCCAGACCUGGAAGCCGUCAGCUAUGGAGGACCCUGGAAGCAGGCAGAGAAAGGUUUGGAGUUUUCAGUGCGAUGACACCAGCGUGCCUGCGGAAGUGGCUGUGUCUCCUCUUGCCUCCUUCCCCACCCAAUUCCGCCCCAGGAGCCCAGGGAUGGAGGCCCAGGAGACGGAUCCCACAAGAGCCAGCACCCACUCCACCCCAGGAGCUCAGCAAACAUCCACAGAGUGAACAUUCCAAGCAACAUAGUCCAGGAGCCACGUUCCAGCCAUGGGGCCUCUGCACUGCUGUUCUCUUCACAUGGCCUGCCCUUCCCCCAGAAAGAGAGAAGAGGCCCUCUCUGGUUGUCCCAUCAAAACUCCACCCUUCUCUCACCCUCCUCCCAGCUGUAUCCCUUCUCUGCAGCCCUAACAUGCAUUCCACUUU
ensembl:lncRNA novel transcript